rnacentral:rRNA from 1 species
AGCAGCCGCGGUAAUUCCAGCUCCAAUAGCGUAUAUUAAAGUUGUUGCAGUUAAAAAGCUCGUAGUUGAAUUUCGGGAUCAAUAUAUCGGUCGUGCCUUGGUACGUACUGGUAUCAUUGGUUUCUCCUUUCUGACGUAACCAUGAUGUCAUUAAUUUGGUGUUAUGGGGAAUUAGGACUGUUACCUUGAAAAAAUUAGAGUGUUUAAAGCAAGCUUACGCUUGAAUACAUUAGCAUGGAAUAAUGAAAUAGGACAUCCGAUUCUAUUUUGUUGGUUUCUAGGAUCGAUGUAAUGAUUAAUAGGGAUAGUUGGGGGCAUUAGUAUUCAAUUGUCAGAGGUGAAAUUCUUGGAUUUAUUGAAGACUAACUACUGCGAAAGCAUUUGCCAAGGAUGUUUUCAUUAAUCAAGAACGAAAGUUAGGGGAUCGAAGACGAUCAGAUACCGUCGUAG